GUAGGUGGCAAGCGUUGUCCGGGAAUUAUUGGGGCGUAAAGCGCGCGCAGGCGGUUCUUUAAGUCUGAUGUGAAAGCUCACGGGCUCAACCGUGGAGGGUCAUUGGAAACUGGAGAACUUGAGUACAGAAGAGGAAAGCGGAAUUCCACGUGUAGCGGUGAAAUGCGUAGAGAUGUGGAGGAACACCAGUGGCGAAGGCGGCUUUCUGGUCUGUAACUGACGCUGAGGCGCGAAAGCGUGGGGAGCAAACAGGAUUAGAUACCCUGGUAGUCCACGCCGUAAACGAUGAGUGCUAAGUGUUAGGGGGUUUCCGCCCCUUAGUGCUGCAGCUAACGCAUUAAGCACUCCGCCUGGGGAGUACGGCCGCAAAGGCUGA
rnacentral:rRNA from 1 species